rnacentral:rRNA from 1 species
GGACUACUGGGGUAUCUAAUCCUGUUUGCUCCCCGCACUUUCGCGCCUCAGCGUCAGUCAUCGGCUGGAAAUCCGCCUUCGCCACCGGUGUUCUUCCUGAUAUCUACAGAUUUCACCCCUACACCAGGAAUUCCGAUUCCCCCUCCGUGACUCAAGCUCUACAGUUUCCAACGCAGUUCAUGGGUUAAGCCCAUGUAUUUCACGUCAGACUUGCAAAGCCGCCUACGCGCCCUUUACGCCCAAUAAUUCCGAACAACGCUCGCCCCUUACGUGUUACCGCGGCUGCUGGCAC